CACACGUAGCUUUUUCUUGGAAGUACCUCAUGCAAAUGAAGAUAAGAUAUUUUUCUCAAAAUUUUGUUAUUAAAAAAGUGGAGCUUUGAAUAUCGAGGCGUAACGAAUCCCGAUUCAGAUAUCAGUUAAACAAUAUAAUAUUCAAACACAAUGAAUAGAAUUCAAUACAAUAUACCGGUAAAAGAGAAAAAAAAAAGAUUCAUACCUGGUCAAAUACUACAAUGUUAAAUUUGUUUUUCUUUCUUCCAUUCAUGAAUUCCUUAUAAUUGAUAAAAAACCGUAUCUAUCUGAAAUGCUGACUCUCUGACACAGGGAUACACUCGGGCUGACAACUGACAAUGAUUUUUACUGUAACGCAAAACACGGAAUCUCCUGGCACCGCUCAAUACAGUUCAGUUCAGAUAAAACCGAUAUAUCUCAAUAAGAGAUUGAAAAGAGCGUAACGACGAAGAAGAGGAACUAAAUGGACGUGCUCGUUCUAUUGUGCGUAAUAAUGCACUUUGCUUCUGUUUUGACUGUCCAAGUGGGUUCUCAUGAGGCUCUAAUACACAGGGAAUUGUUUAAUGAAUACAACGCAUUUGUUAGACCAGUAAAAAAUUCCUCCAUGCCAAUUACUGUUGAAAUUAGUUUGAGUUUAAGGACUGUGUACGAUUUAGAAGAAAAGCGAAAUACAUUGCAUUCUUCGACUGAAAUUGAAAUGACUUGGAUGGAUGAUUUUCUAUCGUGGAAUGCCACAGAAAUGGGGGGCAUACAAGCAAUUCUCGUCCCAACGAAAAAGAUUUGGACACCAAACAUUUGCGUAAAAAAUGACAUAUCGAAUACAAACUGUUUCGGUACACACUCAACAGUGCAAAUAAAUUCAAACGGAAAAGUGGUUUGGUGGUUUAUUCGAGAACUCAAGACGGAAUGUAACGUAGACAUCAGCAGGUACCCGUUUGAUCAUCAAAAGUGUGCGAUCAAAAUCGGAUCUUUGUAUUUUUCAGAUCUAGAAGUUUUACUAAAAAUCGUCGAUACUAGAACCAAUUCGACAUCUCCAAAAACAUGUGGAUUUGUCAGCAACGAUGAAUGGGACCUGCUUGAAAAUCUUAACGACGAAAUUACAAUAUCGUAUAAUGGAAUGGAGUUUACCGUACUGAAUUUCGCAUUUGACUUGAAACGGAGAGUGUCAUUUCAUGUAAACAACAUAAUUAUACCACUUUUCAUUCUAACUUGCCUAAAUCUUUCUUGCUAUUUCAUUCCGUAUAAUGCAGGGAAGUUGUCAAUUUCGAUGGAAGUAUUUUUGGCCUUUGCUUUAUUCUUGUACUCCAUAUUAGAAUCUGUUCCAGCUUCCUCGAGACACGACUUCAUUUUAGGGAUAUUUGUGACGUCACAAUUAAUAUUCAGUGCGUUCACAGUAGUAGUGAAUGCAAUACUGUCUUAUCUGUUUCAAUUGAACUCGGAAAUUCCGAUGUCCUCGCCAUUCCGCAGGUUGUAUGGAAUCUUAAACGGAGCGAGAAUUCCAAAGCAACAGACCCAUGAUAUACAUGUCAUGGAAAACGAAAAACUGAAUUCUGAUGAGCAAAAGGGGGCCUCCAUUCGUUCUCGUUCGUGCAGAGGAAGUGGACAUUACUCCAACAGAGCUUCAGUUAGAACUAUAUCAAUUCAUUCAAAACACAGUCAUUACUCUGAAUGUCCUACAUCCCAAUCUGUUGAUUGGAUUAUAUUUGCGCAUAGUAUCGAGAGAAUGGCGUUUGCAUUUAUGCUAGUUUUAAACGUCUUAUGUUACCUAAUUUCAGUUUGCUUUCUAUUUGGUUGAACCAGCUGGAAGUUGAGGGUAAAGGUACAGUAAAUGAAUUGUGCCUACUUGAUGUGAAUUUCUUAUGACACGCUUAAAACAAAAGCUUGGUAAAAAAUGUAUUGAAGCAUACUGUGUUUGUAAACAAUAAAACUGUUACAAUUUG
rnacentral:misc_RNA from 1 species